ACGAAACAGUACGCAACUGCAAAUACUCCAAAUCCUUACACAGAAAGAAUUGCUUUCUCCAACCCAACAAAGCCAUUCUUUGCUCCUUUCUCAUGUCCGUCUUCCUUAUUGCAUGCCUUCACCGACUUGAUUAAUUUGUUGAUAUAAAUCCAAUUAUUCUUUUCAGAAUCAAACGCUCACCCAGAAAGCAAAAACCCAAACCCAAUCGAACAUUCAAGUUCACGACGUCUGAUCGUAAUCAUGUCGUUGAGCCCUCCUCGUUUGCGAAACAGGAAUGGCACCCGGAGGACCUUCCAGCUUUACUGGUGCUACCAGUGCCAUCGGGCGGUCAGUAUUUUGAGCAGGAACCCGUCGGAGAUCAUUUGCCCACGUUGUUCCGGGCAGUUCGUCUGUGAGUUCGACGCAGCCGGGCCAGGCCACGUCUUAGAUUUCAGAGGAGGUUACAAUCCCUCCCCCGAAAACCGUCUUCUGGAGGCUCUUGCUGUCCUGCUUUACCCGCCCAUCAGGUUCUUCAGUGAUGUCUUGCUGUAUAACCAAGAAACUGAAUUUCGAGGCCGUCCCUCGUUUCCGCAGAGUUUCGAGAUGGGAGAUCACCGGGACCGAGGAGCUGAAACUAGAGCCAGGCCACAUAUUAGGCUGCGGCAUCGAAGUCUUGACGGACGAGAGAACCCGCGGGAACCUGGUAUUCAAGAAUUGCCUCGUACACGGUUUGGUCGUAGACCGUCGGAUCCUUCCGACCGUUUCGCACACAUUCUGCAGCCGGAAACUCCAAUUCCAAUUACUUCCGGAAUUGAGCCUAGAAAUUUCUUUCUCGGGCCAGGGCUAAACGAUUUGAUCGAGCAAAUAACUCAAAAUGAUCGGCCGGGGCCCCCUCCGGCACUUGAUUCUACAAUUAACGCAAUACCAACCGUAAAAAUUAUGGCGAAACACUUGGCCAAUGAGUACUCGCAUUGCCCUGUGUGCAUGGAGGAGUUUGAGGUUGGUGGGGAAGCAAGAGAACUGCCCUGCAAACAUAUUUACCACUCAGAUUGUAUUGUUCCUUGGCUGCGGCUUCACAAUUCUUGCCCCGUUUGCCGGCACGAGGUGCAGACGCCGCCAUGUAUAGAAAAUAUUGAACGAGACAUCACAUUCACCGAAUCUGAGGAUUCUCAUCGGGGAGGAGGGGGCAGGAGACACCGGAGCUCGAGGCGUAAUCAAGAUGUCCCUAAUUUCUUUCCCUUUCGUUUUAGAUUCGGACGAGAUGAUCACUCUACAUAGAGAUGAAACUGUUACUACUUCUCGCAAAGGAAUGUACGUACGUUUCUAAGCUGGAAUAAUGAAGGGGGGCGCAUCUGGGACCGGAGUACAAUAUAUAUAUAUAUAGCUAGUGAAUCGGUGAUGUAUCAUCCGGUACCGUAAGCUGGUUUCUGUCGAUCAUAGUGGAUGCUGCAUCUGCAUGCUUUCCAAUAUUUAGAAAACCUCGUACCUAUGCGAUUAAAUAAAUUAAGCUUGUUCAUUGGCACUUGGCUUGUCAAUUUCAUUGAAAUGGCUAUACCGGUAAAUCAAAUACCGUUAAUUCUCCGGAAUAUUAGCAGUUUCUAGUGCUGUACGUAGUACAUAUAUAUACGUACAUUGUCUGUAUAUAUACGACUAAUCUACGUUCUGUGAACAUGAUGGGGCUGUGUUGUAAAACUUAUGUCUUUACCAUACCUACUGCAUGCAUAUAAAUAAGAGUGGGAUGUACUAAACAAUUAUUAUUCACAUCAUGUGUUUAAUGCUAUUUAAACUGUAAUAUAUUAAUGUCCCAUUAUUGUGUUUCUGAAAAGAAAAAUCUUGGUGUUAA